rnacentral:rRNA from 1 species
UACGGAGGAAAAGAAACCAACAGGGAUUGCCUCAGGUAGCGGCGAGUGAAGCGGCAAAAGCUCAAAUUUGAAAUCUGGCGUCUUUGGCGUCCGAGUUGUAAUUUGAAGAAGGUAUCUUUGGGCCCGGCUCUUGUCUAUGUUCCUUGGAACAGGACGUCACAGAGGGUGAGAAUCCCGUGCGAUGAGAUGACCCGGGUCUGUGUAAAGUUCCUUCGACGAGUCGAGUUGUUUGGGAAUGCAGCUCUAAGUGGGUGGUAAAUUCCAUCUAAAGCUAAAUAUUGGCGAGAGACCGAUAGCGAACAAGUACAGUGAUGGAAAGAUGAAAAGAACUUUGAAAAGAGAGUGAAAAAGUACGUGAAAUUGUUGAAAGGGAAGGGCUUGAGAUCAGACUUGGUAUUUUGCAUGCUGCUCUCUCGGGGGCGGCCGCUGCGGUUUACCGGGCCAGCAUCGGUUUGGAGCGGCAGGAUAAUGGCGGAGGAAUGUGGCACGGCUUCUGCUGUGUGUUAUAGCCUCUGACGAUACUGCCAGCCUAGACGAGGACUGCGGUUUUACCUAGGAUGUUGGGCAUAAUGAUCUAAGUCGCCGUCUA